rnacentral:rRNA from 1 species
UACGUAGGGUCCGAGCGUUGUCCGGAAUUACUGGGCGUAAGAGCUCGUAGGUGGUUUGUCGCGUUGUUCGUGAAAACUCACAGCUCAACUGUGGGCGUGCGGGCGAUACGGGCAGACUAGAGUACUGCAGGGGAGACUGGAAUUCCUGGUGUAGCGGUGGAAUGCGCAGAUAUCAGGAGGAACACCGGUGGCGAAGGCGGGUCUCUGGGCAGUAACUGACGCUGGAGGAGCGAAAGCGUGGGGAGCGAACAGG